AGUGAACGCUGGCGGUAGGCCUAACACAUGCAAGUCGAACGGCAGCACAGUAAGAGCUUGCUCUUACGGGUGGCGAGUGGCGGACGGGUGAGGAAUACAUCGGAAUCUACUUUUUCGUGGGGGACAACGUAGGGAAACUUACGCUAAUACCGCAUACGACCUACGGUUGAAAGCAGGGGAUCUUCUGACCUUGCGCGAUUGAAUGAGCCGAUGUCGGAUUAGCUAGUUGGCGGGGUAAAGGCCCACCAAGGCGACGAUCCGUAGCUGGUCUGAGAGGAUGAUCAGCCACACUGGAACUGAGACACGGUCCAGACUCCUACGGGAGGCAGCAGUGGGGAAUAUUGGACAAAGGGCGCAAGCCUGAUCCAGCCAUACCGCGUGGGUGAAGAAGGCCUUCGGGUUGUAAAGACCUUUUGUUGGGAAAGAAAAGCAGCAGGUUAAUACCCCGCUGUUCUGACGGUACCCAAAGAAUAAGCACCGGCUAACUUCGUG
rnacentral:rRNA from 1 species